rnacentral:rRNA from 1 species
UGGGGAAUCUUCCGCAAUGGGCGAAAGCCUGACGGAGCAACGCCGCGUGAAUGAAGAAGGCCUUCGGGUCGUAAAGUUCUGUCUUUAGGGAAGAAGUCUCUUUAUGUGAAUAAUGUAGAGAGGUGACGGUACCUGAGGAGGAAGCUCCGGCUAACUACGUGCCCGCAGCCGCGGUAAUACGUAGGGAGCAAGCGUUGUCCGGAAUUACUGGGCGUAAAGGGUGCGUAGGCGGGAUAGUAAGUUAGGGGUGAA